CGGUCCUAAGGUAGCGAAAUUCCUUGUCGGGUAAGUUCCGACCUGCACGAAUGGCAUAACGAUGGCCACACUGUCUCCUCCCGAGACUCAGUGAAGUUGAAAUGUUUGUGAUGAUGCAAUCUACCCGCGGCUAGACGGAAAGACCCCAUGAACCUUUACUGCAGCUUUGCAUUGAACUGUGAACCGAUUUGUGUAGGAUAGGUGGGAGGCAGAGAAGAGGCCACGCCAGUGGUCUUGGAGCCGACCUUGAAAUACCACCCUGAUUUGUUUGCGGUUCUAACCACGGACAGUGAUCCUGUCUUGGGACCGUGCAUGGCAGGCAGUUUGACUGGGGCGGUCUCCUCCUAAAGGGUAACGGAGGAGUACGAAGGUACGCUAGGUACGGUCGGAAAUCGUGCUGAUAGUGCAAUGGCAAAAGCGUGCUUGACUGCGAGAGCAACAACUCGAGCAGAUGCGAAAGCAGGUCAUAGUGAUCCGGUGGCUCUGAAUGGAAGGGCCAUCGCUCAACGGAUAAAAGGUACUCCGGGGAUAACAGGCUGAUACCGCCCAAGAGUUCAUAUCGACGGCGGUGUUUGGCACCUCGAUGUCGGCUCAUCACAUCCUGGGGCUGAAGUAGGUCCCAAGGGUAUGGCUGUUCGCCAUUUAAAGUGGUACGCGAGCUGGGUUUAGAACGUCGUGAGACAGUUCGGUCCCUAUCUGCCGUGGGCGCUGGAGAACUGAGGGGGGCUGCUCCUAGUACGAGAGGACCGGAGUGGACGCAUCACUGGUGUUCGGGUUGUCAUGCCAAUGGCACUGCCCGGUAGCUAAAUGCGGAAGAGAUAAGUGCUGAAAGCAUCUAAGCACGAAACUUGCCCCGAGAUGAGUUCUCCCUGAGACUUAGAGUCUCCUGAAGGAACGUUGAAGACGACGACGUUGAUAGGCCGGGUGUGUAAGCGCAGCGAUGCGUUGAGCUAACCGGUACUAAUGAACCGUGAGGCUUAACCUU
rnacentral:rRNA from 1 species